GGUCCUGUAGCUCAGUUGGGAGAGUAUCUGGGGGUCGCUGGUUCGAGACCAGUCGGGACCA
rnacentral:tRNA from 1 species